GCCCCCGUAGCUCAGAUGGAUAGAGCACAGGAUUCCUAAUCCUGGGGCCGUGGGUUCGAGUCCCGCCGGGGGCA
rnacentral:tRNA from 2 species